rnacentral:snRNA from 1 species
GCUCACUUUGGCAGCAACAUAUACUAAAAUUGGAACAGAAUAGAGGAGAUUAGCAUGGCCCCUGUGCAAGGAUGACACACAGAUUCGUGAAGCGUUCCAUAUUUUU